GGGGAUUGAGGUCGCUAGCCAUGCGAGUCGAAUGUAGCAAUACAUGGCGUACUGCUCAGUAACACGUGGACAACCUACCCUCAGGUUGGGGAUAAACCCGGGAAACUGGGUAUAAUACCCGAUAGAUCUCGGCUGCUGGAAUGCAUCGAGCUCUAAAGCUCCGGCGCCUGAGGAUGGGUCUGCGGCCUAUCAGGUAGUAGUGGGUGUAGCGUACCUACUAGCCUACGACGGGUACGGGUUGUGAGAGCAAGAGCCCGGAGAUGGAUUCUGAGACACGAAUCCAGGCCCUACGGGGUGCAGCAGGCGCGAAAACUUUACAAUGCCGGCAACGGCGAUAAGGGGACCUCGAGUGCCAGGUUACAAAUCUGGCUGUCGUGAUGCCUAAAAAGCAUUGCAUAGCAAGGGCCGGGCAAGACCGGUGCCAGCCGCCGCGGUAACACCGGCGGCUCGAGUGGUAACCGUUAUUAUUGGGUCUAAAGGGUCUGUAGCCGGCCGGAUAAGUCUCUUGGGAAAUCCAGCAGCUCAACUGUUGGGCUUUCAGGAGAUACUGUCUGGCUCGAGGCCGGGAGAGGUGAGAGGUACUUCAGGGGUAGGGGUGAAAUCUUGUAAUCCUUGAAGGACCACCAGUGGCGAAGGCGUCUUACCAGAACGGACCUGACGGCAAGGGACGAAAGCUAGGGGCACGAACCGGAUUAGAUACCCGGGUAGUCCUAGCCGUAAACGAUACUCGCUAGGUGUCGGCCACGGUGCGACCGUUGUCGGUGCCGUAGGGAAGCCGUGAAGCGAGCCACCUGGGGAAGUACGGCCGCAAGGCUGAAACUUAAAGGAAUUGGCGGGGGAGCACCACAACGGGUGGAGCUUGCGGUUUAAUUGGAUUCAACGCCGGG
rnacentral:rRNA from 1 species